rnacentral:rRNA from 1 species
GAUGAACGCUGGCGGCGUGCCUAAUACAUGCAAGUCGAGCGAACGGACGAGAAGCUUGCUUCUCUGAUGUUAGCGGCGGACGGGUGAGUAACACGUGGAUAACCUACCUAUAAGACUGGGAUAACUUCGGGAAACCGGAGCUAAUACCGGAUAAUAUUUUGAACCGCAUGGUUCAAAAAUGAAAGACGGUCUUGCUGUCACUUAUAGAUGGAUCCGCGCUGCAUUAGCUAGUUGGUAAGGUAACGGCUUACCAAGGCAACGAUGCAUAGCCGACCUGAGAGGGUGAUCGGCCACACUGGAACUGAGACACGGUCCAGACUCCUACGGGAGGCAGCAGUAGGGAAUCUUCCGCAAUGGGCGAAAGCCUGACGGAGCAACGCCGCGUGAGUGAUAAAGGUCUUCGGAUCGUAAAACUCUGUUAUUAGGGAAGAACAUAUGUGUAAGUAACUGUGCACAUCUUGACGGUACCUAAUCAGAAAGCCACGGCUAACUACGUG